GCCAGGCAUGGUGGCGCGUUCCUGUAUUCCCAGCUACUUGGGAGGCUGAGGUGGGAGGAUCACUUGAGCCCAGGAGUUCUGGGCUAUAGUGCACUAUGCCAAUCGGGUGUCCUCACUAAGUUCAGCAUCUAUAUGGUGACCUUCCAGGAGCAGGGACCACCAGGUUGCAUAAGGAGGGGUGAACCACCCCAGGUCAGAAACAGAGCAGGUCAAAACUCCCAUGCUGAUCAGUAGUGGGAUCGUGCCUGUGAAUAGCCACUGCACUCCAACCUGGGCAACAUAGUGAAACCCAGUCUCA
rnacentral:SRP_RNA from 1 species